GGAUGUGAGAGCAAUCUGGCUGUGACCUCUGUCACCCCAUUGAUCUCCAGGGUUGAUUUGGCUGACCUGGCUGGCUAGGCAGGUGUCUCCUUCCUCCCUCACUGCUCAAUGUGCGUCUCUACUGAAGCUGCAUGCUCAGUCAAAGAGGAUGACUUUCCCUGAUAGAGAAUGACCAUUCUUUGGUCAAGGGUAUAUGAACAGCUGUGCUCCCCUGCUAGAACCUCCAAACAAGUUCUCAAGGUCUAUUUGGAGGAGAAUGUAGGUUAGUCAAGCUUCCAAGACUCCAGACAUAUCCAAAUGAGGAGCUGCCUGUGGCAGUCUGCCUUUCUUU
rfam:Equus caballus chromosome 8, whole genome shotgun sequence.